rnacentral:rRNA from 1 species
UAGUCCACACUGUAAACGAUGAGUGCUAUGUGUCGGAACUUGUUUUCGGCGCUGAAGCUAACGCCAUAAGCACUCCGCCUGGGGACUACGGUCGCAAGACUAAAACUCAAAGGAAUUGACGGGGACCCGCACAAGCGGUGGAGCAUGUGGUUUAAUUCGAUGUUACGCGAAGAACCUUACCAACCCUUGAAAUAUGUAAUCGCGGAUUUCAGAGAUGAUUUCCUUCAGUUCGGCUGGAUUAUAUACAGGUGUUGCAUGGCUGUCGUCAGCUCGUGUCGUGAGAUGUUAGGUUAAGUCCUGCAACGAGCGAAACCCUUGCCUUUAUUUGCCAACGAGUCAUGUCGGGAACUAUAAAGGGACUGCCUGUGAUAAGCAGGGAGGAAGGUAGGGGAUGACGUCAAGUCAUCAUGGCCCUUACGGGGUUGGGGCUACACACGUGCUACAAUGGGUAAUUACAGAGAGAAGCAAUAUCGCGAGGGUGGGAGC